ACACUUGGCCCUCUUGCCAAGACCAGAAUUUGGGCCCCAGACACUGGGCAUCACACAAUGAGCAAUCUGAAGCAUCCAGGCCUCCUGGGAAGUCCCCAGGAGGCAGAACAGAGGGUCUCUCUUCUGAACAAGCCAGGGAAGCAGGGAACGGCUCUCCCUGUGUUAUCUGGAGUGGACAGUGGAUCCCCGAAGCCCCCAAGCUCUUUCCUGCCUGUUGGCGCAUUCAGCCCCGGAUGCCCCACUCAGGGUUGCUGAGGGCAGCUGGGCUGGCUGCUUUCUCUUGGAGGGGCAUGUGGGCAUCCACAGCUGCUUCCCCACCUAGAGCUGACUCGUCGUAUUAUCACCCAAGUAAGAAGUGAAUGUAUUCUCCUUGGAAACAGCUCAAACAAUACCCCAGAAGAUUUCACCUUCUGGAGUCAGAGAGACUGGAAUCACCCUCCCCUACUAAACAACAAAAUCAACAGAUAAAAUAUGUGACCCAGUGGUGUCCAGCUGUCGGACAAUGGGAGCACAGAGGUUCCUGAGAAAAGGAAACGCAAGCCAAUGAGGAAGGUAGAAGAAAGCAUGAAGAUGUUAAAAAGGACCAUGGAAACAUUUUUUUAAUACCUCAAACGUCUAGUGACAAAAAAAAAAAAAAAAAAACCUUUUCUGACAUGAAAAAUACACUGGAGAUUAACAGCAAAUGAAAAGAAGAAAGGAUUCAUAAAACCUGCAUUUCCUUUGCUUUUUGUCUACCUGUCCACCUAGCCUGGCCUUAGACUGAGCAUUUAUUUAAGAAUAAAAUCGUGGUGGUGGUCUGAAAAAAGAAAGAAAGAAAGAUUAAUGAACCUGAUGACAUAGUUGUAGAAACUAUCCAAAAUAAAAUGCACCACUAUAAAAAGACUGAAAAGAAAAAAAAAAGAAGAGGGCAUCAUUGAGAUGUGGGCAACUGCUAUUGGGUAUAUGUACAAAUUAGGUAUCCAUAAAGGAGAGGAAGAAGAGAAAUAUAUUCAAAGAAAUAAUGAGAAAUUUUCAAAAUUUGUGAAAUCUGUAAACCCAAGAAGGUCAAUAAACCCAACACAAGAAAUAUAUCAAAAAAACCAUAUACCACAUCAUAAUUCAAAUGCUUAAAAUCAGGUAGAAAAAUCUUAAGAUAGAGGGAAAAGGAUACAUUACAUAGAGAAGAACAAAGAUUAAAAUGAUAGCACACUUCUCAUAAGGGAAAAUAAAAACCAUCCAAGCCAGAAGGUGGGGGAGCAGCAUCUUUAUAUUACUUAAGGGAGAAAUGGCCAACCUAGAAUUUUAACUCAGCAAAAGUAUCUCUGCAGAUCACAUAUCUGAUAAGGGACCAGUGUUUAGAAUAUAUAAAGAGCUCUUACAACUCAACAAUAAAAAGACAAAUAACACAAUUUUAAAACAGAGGAUCUGAGUAGACAUUUCUUCAAAGAAGACAUACAAACGGCCAAUAAACGCAUGAGAAGAUGCUCAACAUCAUUAGUCGAGUCAAAGCUGAAAUGAGAUGUUUACACUGACUGGGAUGGUGAGAAUUGAAAAGAGAGGUAAUAGGAAGUGUGGUGAGGCUGUGUAGAAACUGAAACCCUCAUACGCCGCUGGUGAAAAUGCAAAAUUUUGUAGCCACUUUGAAAAACAGUUUGCCAGUUCCUCAAAACAGUAAACGAAGUGACUAUAUGAUCCAGCAAUUCUUUUUUUUUUUUUUUGAUCCAGCAAUUCUUAUACUCCAUGUAAAGUGGUACAACCCAUGUGCAGGUAAUCUGUGGUAAAUUAAACUAUCAUAAACCCUAGAGAAACCACUAAAAAUAUAAGAUGAGAAUUAAGUAUACUAAGUCAAUAAUGGAUAUGAAAUGGGAUCAUUUGGGAGAAAAAAAGCUCAAAACAGAUGAAGAAGGGGACAAAAAGCAGAUAGGACAAAGAGAAAAUAAAUAGCACGAUGGUCCAUUUAAAUCUAAUGAUAUUGAUAGUCGUAUUAAAUAUAAGUGGUUUAACCUUUUCAUUGAAUGGCAGGGAUUGUCAGACUGGAUAAGAAAGCAAAGCUCAAUGCACCACAUAUGAUCCUUGUCUCUUAGCUCAGAAUUUUCCCUUGCCUUGUUGGUGAUACUGCAAUGGUUCUCCUUUGCCAUCUGGGAUUAUAUUAACCUUUAUCGGUAGAGGGCACUGGAGAGACACUUUAUUCUUCAGAGUUCUCUUUCUCCCUUAGUAGAGAAACAGGUUCAGGGGUACAAUAUAGUGAUCCAGCAAUUCUAUACAUUCCUCAGUACUCAUCACAAUAAGUGUACCUUUAAUCCCCUUGAUCUGUGCCACCCAACCCCCAUCCACCUCCCUUUCAGGAAUCACAUUUGUUCUCUGUACUUAAGAGUCUGGGUUUUUUUGUUUGUCUCUUAAAUUCCACAUAGGAAUGAAAUGUA